UACAGAGGGGGCAAGCGUUGUUCGGAUUUACUGGGCGUAAAGCGCACGUAGGCGGAUCUUUAAGUCAGAGGUGAAACCCCAAGGCUCAACCUUGGAACUGCCUUUGAUACUGGGGAUCUCGAGUUCGGGAGAGGUGAGUGGAACUGCGAGUGUAGAGGUGAAAUUCGUAGAUAUUCGCAAGAACACCAGUGGCGAAGGCGGCUCACUGGCCCGAUACUGACGCUGAGGUGCGAAAGCGUGGGGAGCAAACAGG
rnacentral:rRNA from 1 species